CACGUAGGGGGCAAGCGUUGUCCGGAUUUAUUGGGCGUAAAGAGCUCGUAGGUGGUUCGGUAAGUCGGGUGUUAAAACCCCCCGGGCUCAACCUGGGGACGCCACUCGAUACUGCUGUGACUAGAGUCCGGUAGGGGAGCGUGGAAUUCCUGGUGUAGCGGUGAAAUGCGCAGAUAUCAGGAAGAACACCGGUGGCGAAGGCGGCUCUCUGGGCCUUACCUGACGCUGAGGAGCGAAAGCGUGGGUAGCGAACAGG
rnacentral:rRNA from 1 species